rnacentral:rRNA from 1 species
UGCAGUCGAACGAUGAACCCUUUCGGGGGGGAUUAGUGGCGAACGGGUGAGUAACACGUGAGUAACCUGCCCUUGACUCUGGGAUAAGCCUGGGAAACCGGGUCUAAUACCGGAUACGACCUGUCACCGCAUGGUGUGCGGGUGGAAAGAUUUAUCGGUUUUGGAUGGACUCGCGGCCUAUCAGCUGGUUGGUGGGGUAAUGGCCCACCAAGGCGACGACGGGUAGCCGGCCUGAGAGGGUGACCGGCCACACUGGGACUGAGACACGGCCCAGACUCCUACGGGAGGCAGCAGUGGGGAAUAUUGCACAAUGGGCGCAAGCCUGAUGCAGCGACGCCGCGUGAGGGAUGACGGCCUUCGGGUUGUAAACCUCUUUCAGCAGGGAAGAAGCGCAAGUGACGGUACCUGCAGAAGAAGCGCCGGCUAACUACGUGCCAGCAGCCGCGGUAAUACGUAGGGCGCAAGCGUUAUCCGGAAUUAUUGGGCGUAAAGAGCUCGUAGGCGGUUUGUCGCGUCUGCUGUGAAAGCCCGGGGCUCAACCCCGGGUCUGCAGUGGGUACGGGCAGACUGGAGUGCAGUAGGGGAGACCGGAAUUCCUGGUGUAGCGGUGAAAUGCGCAGAUAUCAGGAGGAACACCGAUGGCGAAGGCAGGUCUCUGGGCUGUAACUGACGCUGAGGAGCGAAAGCAUGGGGAGCGAACAGGAUUAGAUACCCUGGUAGUCCAUGCCGUAAACGUUGGGCACUAGGUGUGGGGGACAUUCCACGUUUUCCGCGCCGUAGCUAACGCAUUAAGUGCCCCGCCUGGGGAGUACGGCCGCAAGGCUAAAACUCAAAGGAAUUGACGGGGGCCCGCACAAGCGGCGGAGCAUGCGGAUUAAUUCGAUGCAACGCGAAGAACCUUACCAAGGCUUGACAUGGGCCGGACCGGGCUGGAAACAGUCCUUCCCUUCGGGGCCGGUUUACAGGUGGUGCAUGGUUGUCGUCAGCUCGUGUCGUGAGAUGUUGGGUUAAGUCCCGCAACGAGCGCAACCCUCGUUCCAUGUUGCCAGCACGUGAUGGUGGGGACUCAUGGAGACUGCCGGGGUCACUCGGAGGAAGGGGGGACGACGUCAAUCAUCAUGCCCCUUAUGUCUUGGGCUUCNGCAUGCUACAUGGCCGUACAUGGGUUGCA